rnacentral:RNase_P_RNA from 1 species
UGAGUCGGCCGGGUGGCCGCGGCACGACGUGAUCGUGUCGAGGAAAGUCGGGACUCCACAGGGCAGAGUGCUGGCGUGAGCCAGGUUGGGGCGACCUAACGGAAGUGCAACAGAGAGAGACCGCCGAUGGGCCAGCUUGUUGGCCACAGGUAAGGGUGCAACGGUGCGGUAAGAGCGCACCAGCGUGUGAGGCGACUUGCACGGCUCGGUAAACCCCACUCGGAGCAAGGCCAAGCAGAGAGCAUGGGCGGCCCGUCCGCCAGCCGCAAGGUUGGCAACUCUCGGGUAGGCCGCAUAGAGGGAUGGUCACCCGCACCGGUUCACCGGUGCGACAAAAUCCCGCUUAUAGGCCGACUCACCAC